CUUGCUCACUUCACACCUUUCUCGGCGGAGCUGGAUUGCUUCACACCAGUAGAAAUUCCAGCUAGCAGCUAGCUGUGCGCGGGGCUAAUGCUAAAAUCCCAGCUAAUCAUUAGCAGCGCUGUUUGUAGUUCUUGUUUGAUUCUGUACUGAUGACUAUAGAUUCGAUUUCUAGGGCUCUGUUAAACACUGUUUUUGGAGCUCUGGAUAGUGAAGAUAAUGCUAGCAGUGCAUGGUAACUGGUGGCUUCAACCGGGAGCAUUUCUUUUAAAUCGCUGUGGCUGCAGAACGGUUGGUGUCUGAGCUCUGCGCACACACUCACAGACUUAGUACUUACUGCUGUUAUGGCAAAGAAAAUUACUAAACGGCAGAUAAAAACAGCUCUCCCAUGGAUAGGGAACGGCAGGCAUAGGUGAUGUGGUCUGUGGAAAUAGUUUUUUUUUAUAUUCUAAUAAUCUGAGAUAAUGGAUGUCAGAUUUGCAUGACCUAUUAUCAUUAAAAUGUACACAGGCUUGAAAUAUUUUACUGCCCAUCUGAGUAAAAUAGAAUAUAUAAAAGUAUAAUUUUUUAACCGAAUUAUUAAACUAAUGAACUUUUCACAAUAUUAUUAUUUAUUGAGAUUCACUAGUAGACUUUUAAUCCACUUGUUGGUAAUAUUUUUUUAUCAGUUGUUUCUUUGCAUUGAAAUCCUUUUUGAUGUUCUUCUUGCUUCUUCAGAAGACCUUCGGAUCAGAGAAAUACAACCCAGAAGCUCUGUGUCAACAUCAGAUGGGAUGGCCCUGUAAAUUAUAGUAUUAGUUACAUGAUGGCCAAAACAUACAGCUACAGAAGAAUGGAAGUGGUUGUGCAGUCCCCAGGAGUGGCAGAAUUUAAAGAAAGAUGGCCUCCCCUCUUCGAACCAUUCCAGAUCAGUGAAGAGUUUCGUAGGUGCACUGCAGUUCCACUACAGUUCCACUACAGUCAACAUUGAUGUCCCAGCUGGACAGGUACACUCCAAAGCUCCGGCAGCUGUUCGAUACAAUGGGAGGAGCAGAGGGUCAGCACAUCAAGAACAUGCUGAUGGAACUGCAGAUA